GGGUUGUGAGGUUAAGCGACUAAGCGUACACGGUGGAUGCCCUGGCAGUCAGAGGCGAUGAAGGACGUGCUAAUCUGCGAAAAGCGUCGGUAAGGUGAUAUGAACCGUUAUAACCGGCGAUGUCCGAAUGGGGAAACCCAGUGUGAUUCGUCACACUAUCGUUAACUGAAUACAUAGGUUAACGAGGCGAACCGGGGGAACUGAAACAUCUAAGUACCCCGAGGAAAAGAAAUCAACCGAGAUUCCCCCAGUAGCGGCGAGCGAACGGGGAGCAGCCCAGAGUCUGAAUCAGCUUGUGUGUUAGUGGAACGGUCUGGAAAGUCCGACGGUACAGGGUGAUAGUCCCGUACACCAAAAUGCACAGGCUGUGAACUCGAAGAGUAGGGCGGGACACGUGGUAUCCUGUCUGAAUAUGGGGGGACCAUCCUCCAAGGCUAAAUACUCCUGACUGACCGAUAGUGAACCAGUACCGUGAGGGAAAGGCGAAAAGAACCCCGGCGAGGGGAGUGAAAAAGAACCUGAAACCGUGUACGUACAAGCAGUGGGAGCACCUUCGGGUGUGACUGCGUACCUUUUGUAUAAUGGGUCAGCGACUUAUAUUCUGUAGCAAGGUUAACCGUAUAGGGGAGCCGCAGGGAAACCGAGUCUUAACUGGGCGUUAAGUUGCAGGGUAUAGACCCGAAACCCGGUGAUCUAGCCAUGGGCAGGUUGAAGGUUGGGUAACACUAACUGGAGGACCGAACCGACUAAUGUUGAAAAAUUAGCGGAUGACUUGUGGCUGGGGGUGAAAGGCCAAUCAAACCGGGAGAUAGCUGGUUCUCCCCGAAAGCUAUUUAGGUAGCGCCUCGUGAAUUCAUCUUCGGGGGUAGAGCACUGUUUCGGCUAGGGGGUCAUCCCGACUUACCAACCCGAUGCAAACUACGAAUACCGAAGAAUGUUAUCACGGGAGACACACGGCGGGUGCUAACGUCCGUCGUGAAGAGGGAAACAACCCAGACCGCCAGCUAAGGUCCCAAAGUCAUGGUUAAGUGGGAAAGGAUGUGGGAAGGCACAGACAGCCAGGAUGUUGGCUUAGAAGCAGCCAUCAUUUAAAGAAAGCGUAAUAGCUCACUGGUCGAGUCGGCCUGCGCGGAAGAUGUAACGGGGCUAAACCAUGCACCGAAGCUGCGGCAGCGACACUAUGUGUUGUUGGGUAGGGGAGCGUUCUGUAAGCCUGCGAAGGUGACCUGUGAGGGUUGCUGGAGGUAUCAGAAGUGCGAAUGCUGACAUAAGUAACGAUAAAGCGGGUGAAAAGCCCGCUCGCCGGAAGACCAAGGGUUCCUGUCCAACGUUAAUCGGGGCAGGGUGAGUCGACCCCUAAGGCGAGGCCGAAAGGCGUAGUCGAUGGGAAACAGGUUAAUAUUCCUGUACUUGGUGUUACUGCGAAGGGGGGACGGAGAAGGCUAUGUUAGCCGGGCGACGGUUGUCCCGGUUUAAGCAUGUAGGCUGGUUGUCCAGGCAAAUCCGGAUAAUCAAGGCUGAGGUGUGAUGACGAGGCACUACGGUGCUGAAGUAACAAAUGCCCUGCUUCCAGGAAAAGCCUCUAAGCAUCAGGUAACAUCAAAUCGUACCCCAAACCGACACAGGUGGUCAGGUAGAGAAUACCAAGGCGCUUGAGAGAACUCGGGUGAAGGAACUAGGCAAAAUGGUGCCGUAACUUCGGGAGAAGGCACGCUGGUGUGUAGGUGAAGUCCCUGCGGAUGGAGCUGAGACCAGUCGAAGAUACCAGCUGGCUGCAACUGUUUAUUAAAAACACAGCACUGUGCAAACACGAAAGUGGACGUAUACGGUGUGACGCCUGCCCGGUGCCGGAAGGUUAAUUGAUGGGGUUAUCCGUAAGGAGAAGCUCUUGAUCGAAGCCCCGGUAAACGGCGGCCGUAACUAUAACGGUCCUAAGGUAGCGAAAUUCCUUGUCGGGUAAGUUCCGACCUGCACGAAUGGCGUAAUGAUGGCCAGGCUGUCUCCACCCGAGACUCAGUGAAAUUGAACUCGCUGUGAAGAUGCAGUGUACCCGCGGCAAGACGGAAAGACCCCGUGAACCUUUACUAUAGCUUGACACUGAACAUUGAGCCUUGAUGUGUAGGAUAGGUGGGAGGCUUUGAAGCGUGGACGCCAGUCUGCGUGGAGCCAACCUUGAAAUACCACCCUUUAAUGUUUGAUGUUCUAACGUUGGCCCCUUACCGGGGUUGCGGACAGUGUCUGGUGGGUAGUUUGACUGGGGCGGUCUCCUCCCAAAGCGUAACGGAGGAGCACGAAGGUUAGCUAAUCCUGGUCGGACAUCAGGAGGUUAGUGCAAUGGCAUAAGCUAGCUUGACUGCGAGCGUGACGGCGCGAGCAGGUGCGAAAGCAGGUCAUAGUGAUCCGGUGGUUCUGAAUGGAAGGGCCAUCGCUCAACGGAUAAAAGGUACUCCGGGGAUAACAGGCUGAUACCGCCCAAGAGUUCAUAUCGACGGCGGUGUUUGGCACCUCGAUGUCGGCUCAUCACAUCCUGGGGCUGAAGUAGGUCCCAAGGGUAUGGCUGUUCGCCAUUUAAAGUGGUACGCGAGCUGGGUUUAGAACGUCGUGAGACAGUUCGGUCCCUAUCUGCCGUGGGCGCUGGAGAAUUGAGGGGGGCUGCUCCUAGUACGAGAGGACCGGAGUGGACGCAUCACUGGUGUUCGGGUUGUCAUGCCAAUGGCACUGCCCGGUAGCUAAAUGCGGAAGAGAUAAGUGCUGAAAGCAUCUAAGCACGAAACUUGCCCCGAGAUGAGUUCUCCCUGAGACUUUAAGUCUCCUGAAGGAACGUUAAAGACGAUGACGUUGAUAGGCCGGGUGUGUAAGCGCAGCGAUGCGUUGAGCUAACCGGUACUAAUGAACCGUGAGGCUUAACCUUACAACGCCGAAG
rnacentral:rRNA from 1 species